UGUCGUGAAGAUCUAUCACAACAAUCAAAUUCAUAUGUAGAUUUUAUUCAGUUGAGAUUAACAGCAGGGCUACGUAUCAGUUGGGAUACGACAUAUUUUCAAGUCUUCACACUUUUUAUGCUCUAAUUCAAUCAAAUCUGUUUAUCUAAAUGUAUGGCCUUAGGUAAAAACGAAUGUUAAUGAAAAUCAUUACUAGAGCAUUUGAGGUUUCAAAUAAUUCAUGAAACAAUCAAUAUUUGAUCGUCUUCUCUAUGCAAUGAAAUGACCUAAAUAAAGUUGUGUUUCUAUCUGAGGCUUGAGAGGCCUGGGGUUAACUAGACCCAGGCUCUGUCAAGUAUAAAUUGGAAGACCAACAGGGCCUAUUUCUCUGAGGCCUAAAGGCUGAUGAUGAACAUGCCAAAAGUCUGAUGUGCUUUGGCACAGUUGAAGACAAAAAGCAUGAGAAGUGAAUACUCAAUGUGUAAACCGUGGUCUUGUAUUGUUUAUUGUGUGAUUUUAUGUCGUCUUGUUAUGUUUAUUAAAUUUUAAUUGUUUCUUAUCUCUCUCUACCCCUUCAUAUCUCUCUCUCUCACUCGAUCUACCGAGCAAUGAUGAUUUACACUUGAUCGGAUAAACUGUCCUAUCAAGACGGUUAAUGAUCGCAGCUACACUUGAUCUGAGCUCACU